UGCGUAGGCGGCGUUAUAAGUCAGAGGUGAAAGCUUGCAGCUUAACUGUGAAAUUGCCUCUGAUACUGUAGUGCUUGAAUCAGGUUGAGGUCAGCGGAAUGUGGCAUGUCGCGGUGAAAUGCAUAGAUAUGCCAUAGAACACCAAUUGCGAAGGCAACUGGCUGGGCCUGUAUUGACGCUGAGGCACGAAAGCGUGGGGAGCGAACAGGAUUAGAUACCCUGGUAGUCC
rnacentral:rRNA from 1 species